rnacentral:rRNA from 1 species
UGCGUAGGCGGUCUACUAAGUUGGAUGUGAAAUCCCCGGGCUUAACUUGGGGACUGCAUCUAAUACUGGCGGACUAGAGUGCAGGAGAGGGAAGCGGAAUUCCUAGUGUAGCGGUGAAAUGCGUAGAUAUUAGGAGGAACACCAGUGGCGAAGGCGGCUUUCUGGACUGUAACUGACGCUGAGGCACGAAAGCGUGGGUAGCAAACA